ncrna:unclassified sequences EGFOA-assoc-1 RNA
AAAUGCUUUGUUCACAAGCAAUAAAUAAGUGAACCUCGAACCUAUCUAGGAAUACGGCAUAGCGUUACUUCCGAACGGCAAACCAUGGCACUACGAAGUAAACGUAUGAUAGGUAAGAGUAAAGAAAACGCACUAAUCAAGCGUAGUAUAAGGCGGCAUGCAAUUAUGCAAACAUCGAGGUCCUGGAAAAACCGAUGUAAAAUAAAUAACAGCACCCGUUUAGCGAGCGUGGUGAUAGGCGUUAUAGGCU